AGUGCAGGUGGCCUUGUAAGUUGGAUGUGAAAUUUCCCGGCUUAACCGGGAGGGGUCAUUCAAUACUGCAGGGCUUGAGGGCAGAAGAGGGGGGUGGAAUUGCCGGUGUAGUGGUGAAAUGCGUAGAUAUCGGCAGGAACACCUGUGGCGAAAGCGGCCCCCUGGUUUGUUCCUGACACUCAGACUCGAAAGCUAGGGUAGCGAACGGGAUUAGAAACCCCGGUAGUCCUAGCCGUAAACGAUGGAUGCUAGGUGUGGGUGGUAUUGACCCCAUCCGUGCCGAAGCCAACGCGUUAAGCAUCCCGCCUGGGGACUACGGCCGCAAGGUUAAA
rnacentral:rRNA from 1 species